GCUUUUAAAGGAUAAAAGAAAUCCGUUGGCCUUAGGAGCCAAAAACUCUUGGUGCAAGUCCAAGUAAAAGCU
rnacentral:tRNA from 1 species